rnacentral:tRNA from 1 species
GGGCUGGGGCUCAGUGGCAGAGCACUCCCUCGCAUGUGUGAGGCCUUGGGUUCGAUCCUCAGCACCACA